AUCCAGCUGACGAGUCUCAAAUAGGACGAAACGAGCGUCAUGGAU
rnacentral:hammerhead_ribozyme from 1 species